UUCAAGAUUUGUUCCACCAGGCC
rnacentral:siRNA from 1 species